rnacentral:tRNA from 1 species
CGGCUCUUGGCGCAAUCGGUAGCGCGUCUGUCCUACAAACAGUUGUUUGAAGGUUCGAGUCCUUCAGAGCCGA